GUCGACCCCUAAGGCGAGGCCGAAAGGCGUAGUCGAUGGGAAACAGGUUAAUAUUCCUGUACUUGGUGUUACUGCGAAGGGGGGACGGAGAAGGCUAUGUUGGCCGGGCGACGGUUGUCCCGGUUUAAGCGUGUAGGCUGGUUUUCCAGGCAAAUCCGGAAAAUCAAGGCUGAGGCGUGAUGACGAGGCACUGCGGUGCUGAAGCAACAAAUGCCCUGCUUCCAGGAAAAGCCUCUAAGCAUCAGGUAACAUCAAAUCGUACCCCAAACCGACACAGGUGGUCAGGUAGAGAAUACCAAGGCGCUUGAGAGAACUCGGGUGAAGGAACUAGGCAAAAUGGUGCCGUAACUUCGGGAGAAGGCACGCUGAUAUGUAGGUGAAGUCCCUCGCGGAUGGAGCUGAAAUCAGUCGAAGAUACCAGCUGGCUGCAACUGUUUAUUAAAAACACAGCACUGUGCAAACACGAAAGUGGACGUAUACGGUGUGACGCCUGCCCGGUGCCGGAAGGUUAAUUGAUGGGGUUAGCGCAAGCGAAGCUCUUGAUCGAAGCCCCGGUAAACGGCGGCCGUAACUAUAACGGUCCUAAGGUAGCGAAAUUCCUUGUCGGGUAAGUUCCGACCUGCACGAAUGGCGUAAUGAUGGCCAGGCUGUCUCCACCCGAGACUCAGUGAAAUUGAACUCGCUGUGAAGAUGCAGUGUACCCGCGGCAAGACGGAAAGACCCCGUGAACCUUUACUAUAGCUUGACACUGAACAUUGAGCCUUGAUGUGUAGGAUAGGUGGGAGGCUUUGAAGUGUGGACGCCAGUCUGCAUGGAGCCGACCUUGAAAUACCACCCUUUAAUGUUUGAUGUUCUAACGUUGACCCGUAAUCCGGGUUGCGGACAGUGUCUGGUGGGUAGUUUGACUGGGGCGGUCUCCUCCUAAAGAGUAACGGAGGAGCACGAAGGUUGGCUAAUCCUGGUCGGACAUCAGGAGGUUAGUGCAAUGGCAUAAGCCAGCUUGACUGCGAGCGUGACGGCGCGAGCAGGUGCGAAAGCAGGUCAUAGUGAUCCGGUGGUUCUGAAUGGAAGGGCCAUCGCUCAACGGAUAAAAGGUACUCCGGGGAUAACAGGCUGAUACCGCCCAAGAGUUCAUAUCGACGGCGGUGUUUGGCACCUCGAUGUCGGCUCAUCACAUCCUGGGGCUGAAGUAGGUCCCAAGGGUAUGGCUGUUCGCCAUUUAAAGUGGUACGCGAGCUGGGUUUAGAACGUCGUGAGACAGUUCGGUCCCUAUCUGCCGUGGGCGCUGGAGAACUGAGGGGGGCUGCUCCUAGUACGAGAGGACCGGAGUGGACGCAUCACUGGUGUUCGGGUUGUCAUGCCAAUGGCACUGCCCGGUAGCUAAAUGCGGAAGAGAUAAGUGCUGAAAGCAUCUAAGCACGAAACUUGCCCCGAGAUGAGUUCUCCCUGACUCCUUGAGAGUCCUGAAGGAACGUUGAAGACGACGACGUUGAUAGGCCGG
rnacentral:rRNA from 1 species